rnacentral:misc_RNA from 1 species
CAGCGAAAGAGCAAAGUCAGACACGCGACACGUUUCCAGCCGCGUGUGCGUGGCCGUGACCGUGUGUGUUUUCACUUCUACAUCGCCCCUCUCCGCCGUCCCUGCUCAUCUGCUCCCGUCCCUCUCAUUCGCAUUUAGCGUAGUCGCCAUGCAGCAGCCACGCCCUGGGCCCGCCCAGGCGGCCCCGCGCUCUUACGACAAGAAGGCGUACCAGACCAUCUACCCUCAGUACCUCGAUUCCUACCUGACACCCAGCGAGGGCCGGCGUCUCACCAAGUCGCAGGGCGUCGAGCACCCGACGAUGGAGGAGAUCCUUCAUGCACUUAGGGUUCUAGGCUACAAGGAUGUCAUUGUAGACCCGGCCCGCUCAUACCCGCGGAGUCAGAGCACCACCAAGUUUCCAAUGGUGCCGCGCGGAUGCAUCAAGGUUGCCAUCAAGACGCCGGUGGACGAGCACUACAUCAAGAAGAGCGACUUUGACACACAGACGCGCAGCGCUGUGGUGAACAACAUCGACACCAAGCAAGAGCUCCUCCGUCGUGUCGCCGCGCUCAUCAAGGAAAAGAUGCCAAAUCGGCCGCAGCUGGCAACCGUGGAGGACAUCAUCACCACGUAUAAUCCCACACCGCAGCCGAAAAGCAAGAAGUAGCUGGUGAACCGACUAGACGGGUGGUGGUGGGGCACACGGAACUGGAUAUGCCUGCGAUUGACACGCAGCAUGGACUCUCUUUCUCUCUUUCUCUCUUUCUCGUUCGUUCUCUGUGUGUGUGAAUGUGUGCGCCGGCGCACACAUGCGCUUAGAUCUGAGUAGCGAAACUGUCGACGUCGCUGCUGGACGACGGUCAAGGUCGAAAGAAGCGGUGAAGCAGGAAAACAAAAGACGAAUGCGCCUCGAACGCGCGAGCUCCUGAGUAGCGGCUCGGCACCUCAGCGGGGCGUCACGCCUCCUCCUCUCUCUAACCUCGCUUCGCAGGAGGGAAGGCAGAAGAGGGCGACAAGGGCAAACGCCGAUGCGUCGAGACAUACCUGUGCAGCCUUUGCAACACGGCUCGAGAGGGCACAUGUGUGGGGGCAGCGCGUGCGGCUCACUUCUUGCCGUGUUGUCCUCGCCACUAAUGACACACCUGCGCUAGAAGACUGCGCCGGCGGUUGCAUUCUCCCAUCUUCUCUCUUCACGCCUCUUACCUGACUCCGUCGCUUUCUUCUGCUUGCCUCCUCUCCAUACCUCGUUGCUCGUGAAUCUCGCCUUCCUUUUUGUUUUGUCGUGUCUCUUGUUGUUUUCACGCGUUUGCAUGUAG